UUUUAUGGAAGAAAAUAAAACAUAACGUUUAUUGUGAAAGAAAGGAUGAAGAAAGAAAAGUGAUGAGAAAAGCGGGGAGAUACUAUAAAUGGAUAAGAAUGCAUCCUGAUCUGCAAGGAAUCACUAACAGGGUCAGAAGAGGUCAUCAGAUGAGAAAUCUGGUUAUGAAGGGGAUACAACUGAAACAGAAGAAGAACAGCCAAAAUGAGCUAGGGAUUAAACUCAGGUACAGUCAGUCCUCUGGAAAGUCACUCUGUCUAAUCUGGCUCUGAUCACAGGAGAGGAGACAAGGAAGAGUGAGAUAUCACAUCUGUAAAACAAGACUAGGAAUCUCUAUGACAAUCUUGUUGAUUGAAACAUGAACCUACUCCUUGUGUCAAGUAUCAGCUAUGGAUCUGAAGAAAUCUGUCCAGCCCCCUUCUCAUCAUUUUUCACCGAGGAGAUCAUCCAGACCGAAACUACUGCUGCACUGGAUCAGCCCAUCCCGCUCUCCCUUGCAUCCUGUAACACACUUGCAGACAAGGACCACAGCAAUCUGUUCCCUACACAUAACACUUGAAGGAGAACCAACCCAUCAGCUUGGGAGAGAAUGAACACAGUGUG